UACGGAGGGGGCUAGCGUUGUUCGGAAUUACUGGGCGUAAAGCGCACGUAGGCGGCUUUGUAAGUUAGAGGUGAAAGCCCGGGGCUCAACUCCGGAAUUGCCUUUAAGACUGCAUCGCUAGAAUUGUGGAGAGGUAAGUGGAAUUCCGAGUGUAGAGGUGAAAUUCGUAGAUAUUCGGAAGAACACCAGUGGCGAAGGCGACUUACUGGACACAUAUUGACGCUGAGGUGCGAAAGCGUGGGGGAGCGAACAGG
rnacentral:rRNA from 1 species